CAUCUAUCGGAAAGAGGUGGUACAAUAUUUCAUUAGAAUUGUUUCGGCCCUCUAUUCAACUUUUGUGAAUUUCAUCGGCACAGUCGAAUGUGAUUUGAAGAUGGCGAUACAAGAGUAGAAUUGAACGAACGGUUUGCAAGGAAAUCUCUUCUUGCAAUAAUGGCUGAAAUAUUCGACCAUCGUUAUGUCUGACUGGGAAGUUCAAUGCGGCGCACAAGCAUGUGUCACGUCGUGAUCAGACGAGAAUAUAAGUUGUACGAGUGUCUUUAUACGAACGGAAUACGAUCCUACCAAUUUAUAUUUGUAUACUUGCGAAAGAUCACAAAGCUAAUCUAAGUCAGAGACACGGGAAAUGAAAAAUACAAUUAGUUUCGUGAUAAUGAUUCGCCCAAACAAAUUUAUAAUACGUAUAUAUGUUUAAUCACUUGAGAGUUGAACAAGUAAAUAAAUUAUUUGAUUUAAUACAAAAAAAAAAGGAUUAUUCUAUAAUUAGUAAAAAUAAUAGCAAAGAGGGUAAAAUGAAAAGUAGACAUUGAUAUCAAUUGAUGAUACAUAUAUAGGGUUUAAUAAUUACUUAAUGUGUUCGUUCUAAAUGAUACGGAUGGAUUUCUUUU